rnacentral:lncRNA from 1 species
UAGUCCUCGUCCUCCGAGACGUCGCGAGAUGAAACCUCACUUAAAUUCACGCGGAAUGAAACCUCACUUAAAUUCACGCGGAUUUCCGAGAUCGGCGGCAGCGCCACCCCCUUCCUUUCUCUCUCCUACAUUUGUCAUCCACUUCAUACCCCCGUCUCCCUGCCGGCAUUCUCUCUUCCAGAUAAAAGAAUACAAAAAAUAUCCUAUCCCC